GACCCCAACAACAUCCAGUCCUUCACAUUUUAGAUCCAGACCUCCAGCCCGACUUCGUUCCUGGGGCAUGAACUAGUCUGAAAGCAACGAUUCUCUCUCUCACUUCUUAUAUUAAGCCAAAUCAGGAAGAGAGAAAGUUAGAAGAAGAGGAAGAAGAAGAAAAGGUGGAGAUCUCUGCAACCAUCAACCAGCUUAGAUUAAAGUUUUGGCUCUAACAACUUCAAAUCAAAGCGCCAUCGAGCAACAUGCCUCCUUGGUCUUCAGGUUUACUUGUUUGGAAGAGAAAAAAUUCCUGUGGAUUGAGUAGAUUCGGAAAAAGAAGUUCAACGAAAAAUUACUAAAGAUUAAGCGGUUGAGGAAAGAUAAAAGUGUAAUCGAUUCUGAUGGGGUUAGGGAUACCAAGCCGAUGAAGUAUAUCACAAUCGAAGACUUUUAUGUGGUGGCGCCUUAGGAUUCCUAAGGUCCAUACUGUAUAUUCUUCUGUUCAACGAAAAAAGUUGGAGCAUGGUGGGAGAUACAUUCGGGGAUCUUGGAAUACCCUCCAAUUAGAUCUUACGAAGAAAUCACGUUACUUCUCUAUUUUUUAUUUUAUGAACCUUCUUUGGUCUUAUCCUCAUUCUCUGUCGGAGGAAUGCUUCUACGACAACAUCGAAGAGAACAAUAUUUUUGUGUUGGACCAGUCCCCAAUAACACUGCUGAAUUGUCCUGCUAAAGCAAUAUGCUAUGCUGAUGUCAACUCUGAUUGGUUGAAUGUGGCUGUGGAUGGGCCACUUAAGCGCCUGAGGGUGGGCAGUUGGAUGGGUCACUUAAGCGUAGACCUGAGCUUGAGGGUAUGCUUGCCCAUCUUCUUUAACAGUUUUAACCGACUUCAACUCAUUUAGUAUGUGAUUUAAAAAAGACAUACGGCGUUUCUUCUUAACAAGUUGAUUUCGUCUUAUCUUCACCUCAUCUCUUUCAACAUUCUUACAAUCUAUCCCAAUAAACGCUUUUGUGACACCCUCCAAGAAAGGAAAUACAGUUGUGGGAGGUGUUAUGGGGUUGAAAAUUCCGAUGACGUGAAUGGGUAUUAGGGUGAUAAAGAAUGUGAUUCCUUUCUUGGAGGGUGUCACAAAAGCGUUUUAUUGGGAUAGGUUGUAAGAAUGUUGUUGAGUUACUUCCGGGUCUUAAAAAAGAGAUGAGGUGAAGAUAAGACGAAAUCAUCUUCUUAAGAAGAGACGUCGUAUGUCUAAAAAAAUCACAUACUAAAUGAGUUGAAGUCGGUUAAAAUUGUUAAAGAAGAUGGGCAAGAAUUUCAUUAGUCAGUUUAUUUUGGACAUUGCCCUCGGGAGAAGAAUGGCGUAGCAAACUACCUUGCAGGGGCGGCGGCCAGCUGCGAACCCAUAAGUCAUUCUCACGUGGUUUCUUUGGGAGAAAAGGAAGUAAACAAAAUCCUUUUUUUAAUCAAUCAAGAUUUUGACUUGUUGAGGAAGGGAUGGGCUGAAGUACACUGUCAAUGGUGAAUAUGUUAUUGUUUUGUAAAAAAGUUGUGCAAACUCAUUUUUUAGUGCGAGACACUUGAUGCCAAGCUUGCUCUCAUUUUCCAGCUCGAUUUUUCUGAAUGCUCUUUACUUUCAUAGUGCGAUGAUUUUGUUUUUCAGUUUAUUUUGGACAUUGCCCGCGGGAGAAGAAUGUCCUAGCAAACUACCUUGCAGGGGCGGCGGCCAGCGAUGAACCCAUAAGUCAUUCUCGUGUGGUUUCUUUGGGAGAAAAGGAUGUAAACAAAAUCCUUUCUGUUGUAAUCAAUCGAGAUUUUGACUUGUUGAGGAAGGGAUGGCCUGAAGUACAGUGUCAAUGGUGAAUAUGUUAUUACUUGUUUUGUAAAAAAAUUGUGCACACUCAUUUUUGAGUGCAAGACACUUGAUGCCAUGCUUGCUCUCAUUUUCCAGCUUGAUUUUUCUGAAUGCUCUCACUUUCAUAAUGCCAUGAUUUGGUUUGUGUGUGAGCAUGUUAAUUACAUGCUUGAACUGCCUCCUUUGUUUUGUUCAAUUGUAUAAUCUUCUCA